rnacentral:rRNA from 1 species
GACGAACGCUGGCGGCGUGCUUAACACAUGCAAGUCGAGCGGAGCGGCGAACGGGUGAGUAACGGGUGAGUAACUACCCCCCUCUCUGGGAAAACCGUUGGAAACGGGUGAUAAUACCGGAUAGUGGGGGGGGACUCGCGUCCUAUCAGCUUGUUGGUGGUGUAGUGGCCUACCAAGGCGACGAAGGGUAGCCGGCCUGAGGGGGCGACCGGCCACAGUGUGCUGAGAUACGGACCAAGCGCCUACGGGAGGCAGCAGUGGGGAAUAUUGCACAAGGGUGGAAACCCUGAUGCAGCAACCCGCGUGCGGGAUGACGUCCUUCGGGUUGUAAACCGCGUUCAGCCAUGUCGCGGUAGUUGCAGAAGAAGCACCUGCUAACUACGUGCCAGCAGCCGCGGUAAUUC